UGGGGAAUAUUGCGCAAUGGGGGCAACCCUGACGCAGCAACGCCGCGUGAUGGAAGAAGGUCUUCGGAUUGUAAACAUCUGUCUUUAGGGAAGAAAAAAAUGACGGUACCUAAGGAGGAAGCCACGGCUAACUACGUGCCAGCAGCCGCGGUAAUACGUAGGUGGCAAGCGUUGUCCGGAUUUACUGGGUGUAAAGGGCGCGUAGGCGGGAUAGCAAGUCAGUCGUGAAAUACCGGGGCUUAACUCCGGGGCUGCGAUUGAAACUGUUAUUCUUGAGUAUCGGAGAGGAAAGCGGAAUUCCCAGUGUAGCGGUGAAAUGCGUAGAUAUUGGGAGGAACACCAGUGGCGAAGGCGGCUUUCUGGACGACAACUGACGCUGAGGCGCGAAAGUGUGGGGAGCAAACAGG
rnacentral:rRNA from 1 species